rnacentral:lncRNA from 1 species
UGGAAGAAUUUAUUUAAAUGGAAAAAAAUAUAAUUGAAAUAUCAACUUUUGGUGCAGGUCAAAAAUCUGUCAUCCAAAAAUGAUUUCCAAUGUAUUCAUUUUUUUUUUUUAGAGAUUUUUCUUCGCAGUGUAGCUGGGCAACAUUGUUGCCAUGUUGUUAAUGUCAUUUGUUGUUCCUCUCGCAUACAUUUUGCGCUCUCUUUGCAGAUGCUUAGCAUAUCUUAACUGGUCCGCCCAACGACCAGAGAUUGAUAUAAAUUUUGCCACAUGUUUACCUAUUGGCAUGCCACAAUUUUCUUUUUGACUUUGACUUUGUCCGGUGUUGCUGUCGGUGUUGUGUCUUGCUUGGAUUUUGUUGUCGCCGUCUUGUUUCAGGCUCCCAAUUUUCGGCUUUCAGCGGAUUUUGCGCGUUUCGUUUUUCCGCAAUUUCCACAACGUUUUUCGGCGGAUGGCAGCU